UCCGUCUCAAAAAAUAAAUAAAUAAAUAAAAUAAAAUAAAGUAAAAUAAAAUAAAAUAAAAUAAAUUUUUUAGAUACCUCUACUUGUACUCUAAAUGGAACCUUGGAAAGCUUUUGCUAUACACACCUCUCUGAUUUGACAACACUUAUUUAUAGCAAUCCAAAAACUACACCAAUAAUAGGGCCACUUUCAGCCAUCACGGGAGCAAGAUGGCGAUUCUGGGCAGGCAGUAUGGGCUUAUUUUGCCAAAGAAAACACAGCAGUUGCAUCCUAUUUUGCAAAAAUCAUCAGUGUUUGGGAAUGAUUCUGAUGAUGAUGAUGAGACCUCCAUGAGUGGAAGCUUUCAGAGGGAAGCUGCUGAGAAUAGCAGGCUGUGAAACAGACCAAACUGGAAUCCAGAAGGCCCUUGAAGAAGAUGCUACUGUGUAUGAAUAUGACAGUAUUUAUGAUGAAAUGCAGAAAAAACAGGAGGAAAACAAUCCCAAAUUGCUUUUGGGGAAAGACUGAAAGCCCAAGUAUAUUCACAACUUGCUAAAAGCAGUUGAGAUCAGAAAAAAGGAACAGGAAAAAAGAAUGGAAGAGAAAAUACAGAGAGAACGAGAAAUGGAAAAGGGAGAAUUUGAUGAUAAAGAGGUAUUUGUGACAUCUGCAUAUAAGAAAAAACUGCGAGAGAGAGCUGAAGAAGAAGAAAGAGAAAAGGGGGCAGUUGCCCUGGAAGCAUGCUUGGAUGUAAUCAAGCAGAAAGAUCUCAGUGGAUUUUAUAGGCACUUAUUAAAUCAAGCAGUUGGUGAAGAGGAAGUACCUAAAUGCAGCUUUUGUGAAGCCAGAUCUGGUAUAAAGGAAGAGAAAUCAAGGGGCUACUCCGAUGAAGUAAGUUCAAAAACCAGAGUACCACAAAAGAAAUGCAUUCUUCAAACUGAUGUGAAAGUAGAGGAAAACUCAGAUGCAGACAGUGACUUUGAUGCUAAGAGCAGUGAGGAUGAUGAAAUAGAAGAAACUAGAGUGAACUGCAGAAGGGAAAAGGUCGUAGAGACCCCUGAGAAUGACCCCCAAGCACCACAGGAAUCAAAACCACUCUCAGUCAGCUAGUGAAGAAAGAGGGCACAGUGCCAGACACCACAUGAAAGGAUCACGAACGUCGAGAGGACACGUGAAAAGGGAAGAUCAGCACCAACAGAAGCAAUCCAGAGACCAGGAGAACCAUUACAGACUGAUUACCAGAAAGGAAGGGAUUCUCAUAGGCACAGGAGGCCAGUCACAGAGAUUCCCAUUGGAAGAGGCAUGAACAGGAAGAUAAACCAAGGAUGAGAGACCAAAGAGAAAGAAGUGACAGAGUGUGGAAAAGGGAGAAAGACAGGGAGAAAUAUUCCCAAAGAGAACAAGAAAGAGACAACAAAAUGGUCAGAACCGACACAGUGAGAAAGGAGAGAAGGAAGAGAAAAGCAAAGCAAAGGAAGAGCAUAUGAAAGUAAGGAAGGAAAGAUAUGAAAAUAAUGGUAAAUACAGAGAUAGAGAAAAAUGAGAAGUAAGUGUUCAGUCUUCGGAAAGAAAUUGAGACAGAAAGGAAAGCAGCCCAAGUUCUAGGGCAAAGGAUAAAUUUCUUGACCAAGAAAGAUCCAACAAAAUGAGAAACAUGGCAAAGGACAAAGAAGUAAACCAGGAGAAACCCGCUAAUUCUUAAUAAUCACUGGGAGCAAAACAGAGACUUACAGAGGAAAGGCAAGAAGAGAAGGGUAAAGAACAAGAGAGACCACCUGAGGCAGUGAGCAAGUUUGCAAAGAGGAACAACGAAGAAACUGUAAUGUCAGCUAGAGAUAGGUACUUGGCCAGGCAGAUGGCGCAGGUUAAUGCAAAGAGCUAUAUUGAGAAAGAAGAUGAUUGAUGGCUACCCCAAGAGAAAGAUUUAAGGAAGCCCAGAAAACUGUAAUUCCUGGAACCUGCUGUGUAAAACCAUAAAGGAGUGUGUUGCCAGUAGUUUGGAGGGCAUUUUAAAAUUUAUUUUCAAAAUUUUAGGUUAAAACCAAAAGUCUUACAUCUUGGAUGCUUGGAUGUGAAUGUUUGGCUGAAUUUAUAUAUAGUGUGUACUUAUCAAUACCAUAUUCUUUGUUGUAUUCAAGAACUGCAAGAGUGUACUAAUUCCCUGUGGGUACAUAAUGAGGAAAAUUGGCUUCACUACAACCAUUAAAAAAUAAUUUUGGCCAGAUGUGGUAGCUCAUGCCUGUAAUACAAACAUUUUGGGAGGCGAGGCAGAAGGAUCACUUGAGGCCAGACAUACAAGACCAGCC